rnacentral:rRNA from 1 species
AGCCUACGGGAGGCAGCAGUAGGGAAUUUUCGUCAAUGGGCGCAAGCCUGAACGAGCAAUGCCGCGUGAACGAGGAAGGUCUUCGGAUCGUAAAGUUCUGUUGAAGGGGAAAAAGAGCGGAGAGAGGAAAUGCUUUCUGAUUGAUAUUACCCUUCGAGGAAGUCACGGCUAACUACGUGCUAGCAGCCGCGGUAAUACGUAGGUGGCGAGCGUUAUCCGGAAUGAUUGGGCGUAAAGGGUGCGUAGGCGGCCUGCUAAGUCUGGAGUGAAAGGUACCGGCUCAACCGGUACAGGCUCUGGAAACU